rnacentral:rRNA from 1 species
CCUACGGGAGGCUGCAGUGAGGAAUAUUGGUCAAUGGGCGCGAGCCUGAACCAGCCAAGUCGCGUGAGGGAAGACGGCCCUACGGGUUGUAAACCUCUUUUGCCGGGGAGCAACGGGCGCCACGUGUGGCGCCACUGAGAGUACCAGGAGAAAAAGCAUCGGCUAACUCCGUGCCAGCAGCCGCGGUAAUACGGAGGAUGCGAGCGUUAUCCGGUUUUAUUGGGUUGAAAGGGUUCGUAGGCGGAGCGUAAAGUCAGUGGUCAAAUUGAGGGGCACAACCCCUUCCCGCCAUUGAAUCUGGCGCUCUGAGUGUAACAUAAGUAUGCGGAAUGCGUGGUGUAGCGGUGAAAUGCAUAGAUAUCACGCAGAACCCCGAUUGCGAAGGCAGCAUGCCGGCUUCCGACUGACGCUGAAGCACGAAAGCGUGGGGAUCGAACAGGAUUAGAUACCCCAGUAGUC